ACGCCAAGGUGUCCUGCCGGCACGCCGCAGUGCGCUUGUGCUUUACUUCCAGCUGAAGCAGCAGGCUGGCUUUUCUGGACUAUUUCUCUCCCCGCUUGCUGUCAUAACUCUAUUGUAUGUGGGUAUCCAUAAAGUACUUUCCCUGAAGGCACGCUGUAAAAUACUUUCACAUGGGGAAAUAAGUCAUGAUUGCUGUAUACUUUAAAGGGCGCAGAAUGAAUACUUCACCUUGUGUAAUAAGUAAGCCUGAUCCUGCUCGCUCUGCAGCAAGACAUGCUCCUGUCGAUGGGGCUGCUCGCAGCAGUAGGUGCUCCACUUAGCUCAUAGCCAUAGGAGGACGCCCUGAGUAAGGAUCUACUUUUCUGCAGGUUAGUAACACUAUGCAAUAUGUGCAGGAAGAUUUUUUUUUUAAUAGCGUAACCAUAGCAGAAGAAGAGUUUCUGAGAAGUCAGUGUCGUUGCUUGAGAAGGGGGGAGGAGCGGACGUUACACUCGUGUAAGAUUUUGUGCCUGUGCUGGAGGAAAAAGCAUCUCCUUGAGCACCGUCGUUCUGAUCCUUCUCAGUGUUUCUUUUGGAGGUGCCCAGCUGCACUGCAAACUGGGCACUGAGGUCUGCCCGAGUUGCUGUGGGUAGGAGAAGAAAGGGAGGAGAGCGAUGAGGUGAUCCUCUGUUGCCAGGCACCUCCGUUUGCAGAAACAUCCAAAGCCGAAGGUGUUGAACGGCUUGUCCUGCCCAGGUGGCCAGAGUGCGUCCUCUAUGCCUUUCCUUAGGAUCAGAAGUGGAAAGUUGGAAGAAACUCGUGGCCUGCUAGUAACUUGCUGGCAUCCAUUCCUGGAGGCAAAAGUCACUUAAAGCUUUGAGGUCUUCUUUAUGUGCUGCUUACACCCAAAGGGAAGCAGAGCGUCCUUUGGAGAUGUUACCACACGGGUGGGUUCUUGUGAGUAGCUCUUCAAAAAGGAGUGACUUUGCUGAAUGAAAAGGCUCUCAGAGGUGCAAUUUCUGCUUGUGGAUUCCAGUGUUUGUAUACAGAGUUCCUGCUUACGCGCAGAGUGGUGUUUUCCCUGUGAUGUGAUCGUUACAGUACCUAGAAUUAAUUAGCCAUUGGUGGCAGUGCUUCAAGACAGCAGCUCCUGCAUACUAAUGAUUUGCGUGCUAGGAGUAUUCUGCAUUUUGGGUUUGAAAGGAAAGUUUACUGUUUGUAUUUCGACUGUUGCAGAGAACCUGGUGUAUGGACGUUGUUUUGUGUUUGGCCUGAAAAUGGACCUCGCCAAGUGCUGUUAGAGCGUUAGCUGAUUUUAGCUGAAAAGCGAUGGUAUUUGAAGGAGCAAAGUUUAGUAUGGCGUUUAUUGCAGACUUCCAGUGUCACCUAUUACCUUCACAUACACUCGCCUUUAAAUAAUGCACUUUUGAGCUGAAACCUUCCAUGCUGUUGAGUUAGGAAUCUAAAUAUGAAUAUCGGUACCAUGUUCAAUGUGCUAGUUUAAAUGACUUUUCCACUGACUCACUCUGCGACUUUGAAUGAGCGAGGAGUGGAAGUCAGUAGUCCUGAAUCACUCUGUCCUCCAGACAAUUACCCUCCACCCCCCGUAAUUCUUUCGAGCAGCAAUCAUAUUUUAAAAGCAGUGAUAACAGCCGUGUUUUUCCCCAUUCUAAUCGCUCGGAAUUUAAGAGCUACAGAAAUGAUCUGAAACAUUUUCAGCCAGGUUGAAAGCUUUCAGCUUUGAGACGUUUCUGUAGGUCACGGAGUCUGGAUAUACAAAGCCUUUUUCAGCAGCAGUGGGAUUUCGCUAUGUGGUUUGGAGAAUUGUCACAAGUGUUUCUGUCACCUGCCAGGGAAGAGGAACUAGAGUGAUCCUCGCAGUCUUACUGGGACAGUCUUUUACGGACUGCAAGACCAGAAGAGGAAAGCAGAAAGGGACCCUCAUUGCCAAACAGGCUGCUUUGCCCAAGAUCUGGCUGUCCCACUGUUUUCUAGGUUUCUCAUUUUUUAUUGCGACGUGUUUUAUUACUGGACAGAAACCGCCCUUCAUUGCCCCAACAGCAAAGCGAACGUGAUCUUUUUGCUGCUGCAGGCACGCACCCUCUUUGUGCCGUUUCUGAAACCUCGAGGCUGGAGGCCUGAGGGGAAGGAGUGGAGGGGAAGCACGGGGAAGGAGAGCAGGGAUCUCGGAAAUAACUGAGCGCUCACCGGCUCGAAUGAAGUUAACUGGCUGGUUAGAGGAGCGACUCGGUGCUUCUAACUGAAAGAAGAGGUGGAGCAGGAGCUCGGCCCUUUCUGGACGCCGCCGGAUCCGCUGGGCAAUAGCAACGAGCCAGCAGCAGGGGAGGCAUUGACUAGCGCUUGCCGGCAGCCGUGAGUCACGAGCUGGGAGAAACCUAGUUUCGUUAGUUGCUACAUUCACGAAACCAUGUGUGCUCUUUUACCUUCUCCCAGAACAAAAGCGGGGUUUCUUGAAAUCAAGUGAUUGCAAGGAAAAGGGGACUUCUCAAAACCUUUGUUUUCCUAUUGGGCUCUCCGACGUCCCCUUAAUAUUCAACAGAAAGUGAUUUAUAGCCCUCCUGACACGAUGGUUUGGUGUUUCCUUUGUGUGCAUAA